CUGGUGCCUGUCAGGCAGGAUGAUCUGGAACCAACCGAACAUGUACCCGGAGGGUGGCUGGAGACCUCCUGGCCCAGGUCUCGCUGCACUGAUCCUACAGGGCAGACAUCCUUCUACUGUGCUGAAACCCAGCAGGAGCAGCCCGAAUGAUCAGAAGAUGCCACACCUCACUCAAAGCGCUCCACUGUCUGCCCGUUUCUCUCAGAAUAAGACAGGGCCAUGAAGCCCACAUGAAUCCUCUUGUUCUUGCUGCUCCACACCAUAGGCCUUUGCACCUACUACUACUAGUACUAGUACUACUACCACUACUACUGGUAACUAAAGUUCUGCCCAGGUGGCCACACAGCUCCAAUCUCCCUGCAUUCAGAUGCUUCUCGAUGGCCACCUCGGCAGAGUGGCCUCCUGGGACCCUCUGUAAAGCAGGCCCCAAAUUAUUCUAUUUCAAAUACCUUUUUGUUUUCUUCCCAAAAGUUACUACAAUCAAUAAUUAUUAUAUUUCUGUGUUUAUUUA